ACACUCCUGCGGGAGGCAGCAGUGGGGAAUAUUGGACAAUGGGCGCAAGCCUGAUCCAGCCAUGCCGCGUGAGUGAUGAAGGCCCUAGGGUUGUAAAGCUCUUUCACCGGAGAAGAUAAUGACGGUAUCCGGAGAAGAAGCCCCGGCUAACUUCGUGCCAGCAGCCGCGGUAAUACGAAGGGGGCUAGCGUUGUUCGGAAUUACUGGGCGUAAAGCGCACGUAGGCGGAUCGAUCAGUCAGGGGUGAAAUCCCAGGGCUCAACCCUGGAACUGCCUUUGAUACUGUCGAUCUGGAGUAUGGAAGAGGUGAGUGGAAUUCCGAGUGUAGAGGUGAAAUUCGUAGAUAUUCGGAGGAACACCAGUGGCGAAGGCGGCUCACUGGUCCAUUACUGACGCUGAGGUGCGAAAGCGUGGGGAGCAAACAGGAUUAGAUACCCCGGUAGUCCCAUGA
rnacentral:rRNA from 1 species